GAGAGUCACAUUACUGUAUAUCUGCCGCAGACUACUAAAUGAUUGUCAUCCUUUCCUUAUGCCAAAACGCCCUAACCCCUCAUUUCCACCGUCUCCCUCUCCUUCUCUCGAUCUCCUUCUCCCUCUCUCAAUCUCCGUUUCUUCCGAUCUCCCUCAUCCCGAUCUCAACCCUCUCUCGAUCUCCCUCUCACUCUCCCUCCCUCUCUCUCGAUCUCUCUCUCCCUGUUGGACUCUAGAUCUGCAACAUCCCCACACAUGGGAGAAGAGAUCGAGAGGAGACGACAGUCCCCACACAUGGGGUAUCUGAUAUUGUAGGAGCAGCAGCAUCAGCGCCGUAUGAGGUGUUUGAUCUAUCGUCAGACUGAAGGGAGGGAGUGAGUGGGUGCAGCAACAACAACAGCAUGAAGACGAUGGAAUCUGCCUGAUCUACCCUUCUCCUUCUCAUAUCUGUAUUUGCAAUUUGUUAGGGGUUUGAGAGAGCGAGAAAGACGAAGAAUACUGACGAAAUUCGAGACCGAGUAAUACGGUAGAGGGGCUGAGCUUUCACAGCAAGAGGCCAUGGAUCCCUUGCAAAGUGCCUUUUCAAUCCCUUGCACGGAUUGUUGUCUUAGAACUCCUCUUUCUCUUUUAUAAUUUGAUCUAAAAUGUUUAUAUCCAAGCAAUGAUGAUGUUAUCAUGUGCUUGUGUUCAUUGCAUUGAUAUGUGGCUGAUCAAGUAUAUGUUUUACUUUUCAUUUCCAAUUGUUUUUCAAAAAAAAAAACUUUUUCUGAUUUCUCUCAAAUUUAUACUCCCUUGAGCUUGAUUCAAGGUUCAGGAGGUCGAUCUGCUUGUUCCCUGGGCAUAAUAAGAAGGGUAGGUUCUAAGUGGUGAUAAAACCUGCUAACAUCUUUUGUGGAGUGGCUGAUCUAUCCUAGGAAAGUUAUGACACAAUGCUUGGGCAAAAAGGUUGUAAAGUACUGUCAGUGUUUGCAGUUUGUAUUGCUAGUGCCUAUACUAUGAUAAUUCAAUCAAUGGUACUCAAGCCCUGACUGUGGAUGCCCAUGCACGCACACACAA